rnacentral:rRNA from 1 species
UACGGAGGGUGCAAACGUUGCUCGGAAUCAUUGGGCGUAAAGCGCACGUAGCGGUCUGCCAAGUCGGGUGUGAAAGCCCUCGGCUUAACCGAGGAAGUGCAUUCGAAACUAGCAGGCUUGAAUACCGGAGAGGAUAGCGGAAUUCCCGGUGUAGAGGUGAAAUUCGUAGAUAUCGGGAGGAACACCAGUGGCGAAGGCGGCUAUCUGGACGGAUAUUGACGCUGAGGUGCGAAAGCGUGGGGAGCAAACAGG